AAUAUUGGACAAUGGGGGCAACCCUGAUCCAGCCAUGCCGCGUGUGUGAAGAAGGUCUUCGGAUUGUAAAGCACUUUAAGUUGGGAGGAAGGGCUUUAGGUUAAUACCCUGAAGUUUUGACGUUACCAACAGAAUAAGCACCGGCUAACUCUGUUCCAGCAGCCGCGGUAAUACAGAGGGUGCAAGCGGUAAUCGGAAUUACUGGGAGUAAAAGGCGCGUUAGUGGGUUAGUAAGAUGGGUUGGAAAUCCCCCGGGUUAACCUGGGAACUGGUUUCAUAACUGCUGAGGUAGAGUAAGGUAAAGGGUAGUGGAAUUUCCUGUGUAGCGGUGAAAUGCGUAGAUAUAGGAAGGAACACCAGUGGCGAAGGCGACUACCUGGACUGAUACUGACACUGAGGUGCGAAAGCGUGGGGAGCAA
rnacentral:rRNA from 1 species